rnacentral:rRNA from 1 species
CAAAGGAAGCGAUUCCGGCAACGGAUGGGCAUGCGUGACAUUAGCUAGUUGGCGGGGCAACGGCCCACCAAGGCGACGAUGUCUAGGGGUUCUGAGAGGAAGGUCCCCCACACUGGUACUGAGACACGGACCAGACUCCUACGGGAGGCAGCAGUGAGGAAUAUUGGUCAAUGGGCGCGAGCCUGAACCAGCCAAGUCGCGUGAGAGAUGACGGCCCUACGGGUUGUAAACCUCUUUUGUCGGGGAGCAAAUUCCGCCACGCGUGGCGGAGUCGAGAGUACCCGAAGAAAAAGCAUCGGCUAACUCCGUGCCAGCAGCCGCGGUAAUACGGAGGAUGCGAGCGUUAUCCGGAUUUAUUGGGUUUAAAGGGUGCGUAGGCGGACUGUCAAGUCAGCGGUAAAAUACGGGGGCUCAACCUCCGCCCGCCGUUGAAACUGACGGUCUUGAGUGGGCGAGAAGUAUGCGGAAUGCGUGGUGUAGCGGUGAAAUGCAUAGAUAUCACGCAGAACUCCGAUUGCGAAGGCAGCAUACCGGCGCCCAACUGACGCUGAAGCACGAAAGCGUGGGUAUCGAACAGGAUUAGAUACCCUGGUAGUCCACGCAGUAAACGAUGAAUACUAGCUGUCCGGGGCGAAUGAGCUCUGG